GUCAGCGUGUUUCAGACGUUCAGACAAGAAGGAUAGGCACUUUCCUCUCUGUAGAACAGACAUGCCCACAUUGUCAGUUCUUCAGAAACUGGAACAGCCAGCCAAUUCUGGGAGGCACACCAGCAGGAAACCUCCAGCUCUCAGCUGCAGUAUACACCACAGGAGCAUCUUUCUUCAAACUUGAAAAGAGCCUGCUGUCCUACACACAUGGAAGACUGUGCAGGACGGCAUGAUGGAGUAGCUCAGUCAGCAGGAGAGUGUUAUCCUAGAUGGCCACUUAAGGGCUGACUCACCAGGCCACUCUGCCAAGUUUGACAGGUACUCAAUGAUGGACCUGAGGAGCAACACUGUUAUUGACAUACAGCUGGUUCAGAGCAACAAAGUUGGUGGAAGUUCCCACAUGGAGAAAGAGGGUCUGAAGAGGAGCCUCGCUCUCUUUGAGGCACUCGGUGUUGCAUUGGACAGUCUGACAGGGAAGACGGAUUGUCACCAACAGUUAACACUAGAUUCGGAGCGCUUCACCCUGUGACAAGCAAAGGAGGAAGACAUAUCUCUCCAGCCAGUUUUUGUUAGAAAAAGACAGAUCGAGUUCCCUUCCCUAACCCACCUCACAGGAUGCCGGAUUCAAUUCCCCUCACCUAACCCCCCAGCAGGAUGUAUGGAAGAAGAAGCAGGAUAUCCUAGUGAAGCAAACUGAGACACAGCCGCUCCUGAUAUCCAAACUGGAGAAGAACAGAGCAAUGAAGGCAGAGGAUAAAGCCAAGAUCAUGGAAACUUUGGGAAUGUUAACCAAGAGCAUCACCAAACUGCAAGAGGAGAUAAAGGGAAUCUCAGGCAGCAGCAGCCCCCUAUGGGCAGCCUUCAAGGUACAGUAAGUGCCAAAACGUUUUUAAACUGUGUUAAAUGGCUCCACAUUCUAAGAGUUGUCAUUGCUGUCAUAAUGUUUACUGAAUAAUGCGAGAUGGAGACCCAAAAUACAUUUUGUUUUGCUGGAGUCAUUUCCCUUUCCUUUUGUUUUAAUUCAAGACA